rnacentral:rRNA from 1 species
UGGAGAAUCUUGCGCAAUGGGCGAAAGCCUGACGCAGCCACGCCGCGUGCGGGAAGAAGGCCUUCGGGUCGUAAACCGCUUUCAGGAGGGAAGAAGCGAAAGUGACGGUACCUCCAGAAGAAGCCCCGGCCAACUACGUGCCAGCAGCCGCGGUAAUACGUAGGGGGCGAGCGUUGUCCGGAAUCAUUGGGCGUAAAGCGCAUGUAGGCGGCCGUGCCAGUCGGAUGUGAAAUCCCGAGGCUCAACUUCGGAACUGCAUCCGAUACUGCGCGGCUUGAGGAAGGUAGAGGAGAGUGGAAUUCCCGGUGUAGCGGUGGAAUGCGCAGAUAUCGGGAGGAACACCAGCGGCGAAGGCGGCUCUCUGGGCCUCUCCUGACGCUGAGAUGCGAAAGCGUGGGUAGCGAACAGG